AUACUUACCUGGACGGGGUCAAUAGGUGAUCAAGAAGGCCCAUGGCCUAGAUUGGCAAUUUCCAUUGCACUUAGGAGGGGCGUCCGUCUAAGGUCGGCCCAAGUGGUCGAGCCUACGCCAUAAUUUGUGAUAGAGGGGGCCUGCGUUCGCGCAGCCCCUGC
rnacentral:snRNA from 1 species